GAUGAACGCUAGCUACAGGCUUAACACAUGCAAGUCGAGGGGAAACGACAUCGAAAGCUUGCUUUUGAUGGGCGUCGACCGGCGCACGGGUGAGUAACGCGUAUCCAACCUGCCCACCACUUGGGGAUAACCUUGCGAAAGUAAGACUAAUACCCAAUGAUAUCUCUAGAAGACAUCUGAAAGAGAUUAAAGAUUUAUCGGUGAUGGAUGGGGAUGCGUCUGAUUAGCUUGUUGGCGGGGUAACGGCCCACCAAGGCUACGAUCAGUAGGGGUUCUGAGAGGAAGGUCCCCCACAUUGGAACUGAGACACGGUCCAAACUCCUACGGGAGGCAGCAGUGAGGAAUAUUGGUCAAUGGACGGGAGUCUGAACCAGCCAAGUAGCGUGCAGGACGACGGCCCUAUGGGUUGUAAACUGCUUUUAUAAGGGAAUAAAGUGAGUCUCGUGAGACUUUUUGCAUGUACCUUAUGAAUAAGGACCGGCUAAUUCCGUGCCAGCAGCCGCCGUAA
rnacentral:rRNA from 1 species